AACGAACGCUGGCGGCAGGCUUAACACAUGCAAGUCGAGCGCCCCGCAAGGGGAGCGGCAGACGGGUGAGUAACGCGUGGGAAUCUACCCAUCUCUACGGAAUAACGCAUGGAAACAUGUGCUAAUACCGUAUACGUCCUUCGGGAGAAAGAUUUAUCGGAGAUGGAUGAGCCCGCGUUGGAUUAGCUAGUUGGUGGGGUAAAGGCCUACCAAGGCGACGAUCCAUAGCUGGUCUGAGAGGAUGAUCAGCCACACUGGGACUGAGACACGGCCCAGACUCCUACGGGAGGCAGCAGUGGGGAAUAUUGGACAAUGGGCGCAAGCCUGAUCCAGCCAUGCCGCGUGAGUGAUGAAGGCCCUAGGGUUGUAAAGCUCUUUCACCGGUGAUGAUAAUGACGGUAACCGGAGGAGAAGCCCCGGCUAACUUCGUGCCAGCAGCCGCCGUGACAC
rnacentral:rRNA from 1 species